CUGGGUUCAAAACGUCGUGAGACAGUUUGGUCCCUAUCUGUCGUGGGCGUAGGAAAUUUGAAGGGAGUUGUUCUUAGUACGAGAGGACCAGAAUGAACGAACCGCUGGUGAACCAGUUGGCCUGCCAGGGCCACUGCUGGGUAGCUACGUUCGGACGGGAUAAACGCUGAAAGCAUCUAAGCGUGAAGCCCCCCUUAAGAUGAGAUUUCCUGUUACGCAAGUAAGUAAGUCCCCUUAGAGAUGAUGAGGUUGAUAGGUCAGAGAUGUAAGCAUGGUGACAUGUUGAGUUGACUGAUACUAAUAGGACGAGGACUUUUCCUU
rnacentral:rRNA from 1 species